rnacentral:rRNA from 1 species
CCUCAAAUCAGGUAGGACUACCCGCUGACUUAAGCAUAUCAAUAAGCGGAGGAAAAGAAACUAACAAGGAUUCCCCUAGUAACUGCGAGUGAAGCGGGAAAAGCUCAAAUUUAAAAUCUGGCGGUUUUGCCGUCCGAGUUGUAAUCUGGAGAAGCGUUUUCCGCGUUGGACCGUGUACAAGUCUCUUGGAACAGAGCGUCAUAGAGGGUGAGAAUCCCGUCUUUGACACGGACUACCAAUGCUUUGUGAUACGCUCUCAAAGAGUCGAGUUGUUUGGGAAUGCAGCUCAAAAUGGGUGGUAAAUUCCAUCUAAAGCUAAAUAUUGGCGAGAGACCGAUAGCGAACAAGUACCGUGAGGGAAAGAUGAAAAGCACUUUGGAAAGAGAGUUAAACAGUACGUGAAAUUGUUGAAAGGGAAACGCUUGAAGUCAGUCGCGUUGUCCGGGACUCAGCCUUGCUUCUGCUUGGUGUACUUCCUGGUUGACGGGCCAACAUCGAUUUUGAUCGGCGGAUAAAGGUAGAGGGAAUGUGGCACCUUCGGGUGUGUUAUAGCCCUCUGUCGGAUGCGUCGAUUGGGAUCGAGGACCGCAGCAUGCCUUUUUGGCCGGGGUUCGCCCACGUAACGUGCUUAGGAUGUUGGCAUAAU